rnacentral:rRNA from 1 species
AUUGAACGCUGGCGGCAUGCCUUACACAUGCAAGUCGAACGGCAGCACGGGAGCAAUCCUGGUGGCGAGUGGCGAACGGGUGAGUAAUGUAUCGGAACGUGCCCAGUCGUGGGGGAUAACGUAGCGAAAGCUACGCUAAUACCGCAUACGAUCUGUGGAUGAAAGCGGGGGACCGUAAGGCCUCGCGCGAUUAGAGCGGCCGAUAUCAGAUUAGGUAGUUGGUGGGGUAAAGGCCUACCAAGCCGACGAUCUGUAGCUGGUCUGAGAGGACGACCAGCCACACUGGGAAUGAGACACGGCCCAGACUCCUACGGGAGGCAGCAGUGGGGAAUUUUGGACAAUGGGCGCAAGCCUGAUCCAGCAAUGCCGCGUGCAGGAUGAAGGCCUUCGGGUUGUAAACUGCUUUUGUACGGAGCGAAAAGGCUCUCUCUAAUACAGGGGGCUCAUGACGGUACCGUAAGAAUAAGCACCGGCUAACUACGUGCCAGCAGCCGCGGUAA